GGGCGCCGUUGUUUGCAUAUUUGAAGCACUAUGGCUACAAUCUGUCAGCGGGAGAGCAGCGGCGAAGGAAGCAGCUUUAGACGCUCGUACGCAAAUACCUCAGCCUGAAGGCAGGAGGUCUGUCAGGUAGCGAGGAAGAAAAGCGACACUACUGACCCAGACAGACCCAGUACCACAACAAACUCCCUGUCUGCCUGGAAAGCAACCAACAUCAGCUGGGAAAUCAGACCCGUGGUGGUGGCAAAGCGCUCGCGUUGCUGUGGCAGUUGCACGCAAUGGAGAAAUGCCCUGUUGGUGGAGAAGGGUGAGAAGAUGGAGAUGGAGCUGAAGAAUCCCAGGUUUCACUGGGAAAGAGGAACUUGGAGAGCCACUGCCAGGGAUGAAUUCCUGCUGCUGUGAGAUGCAGCCUUAAAAUAGCACCUGGAAACCGCUGAGGAGCAAACAUCACAGUGCCUGGGCAAUCAAUGGC